rnacentral:rRNA from 1 species
UACGGCGGGUGCAAGCGUUAUCCGGAUUCACUGGGUUUAAAGGGUGCGUAGGUGGAGUGGUAAGUCAGUGGUGAAAUCUCCAAGCUUAACUUGGAAACUGCCGUUGAUACUAUCAUUCUUGAAUAUCGUGGAGGUAAGCGGAAUAUGUCAUGUAGCGGUGAAAUGCUUAGAUAUGACAUAGAACACCGAUUGCGAAGGCAGCUUGCUACACGAUCAUUGACACUGAGGCACGAAAGCGUGGGGACCAAACAGG